rnacentral:rRNA from 1 species
UACGUAGGGAGCAAGCGUUGUUCGGAUUUACUGGGCGUAAAGCGCACGUAGGCGGACUACUAAGUCAGGGGUGAAAUCCCGGGGCUCAACCCCGGAACUGCCUUUGAUACUGAUAGUCUCGAGUCCGGAAGAGGUGAGUGGAAUUCCGAGUGUAGAGGUGAAAUUCGUAGAUAUUCGGAGGAACACCAGUGGCGAAGGCGGCUCACUGGUCCGGUACUGACGCUGAGGUGCGAAAGCGUGGGGAGCAAACAGG